CUCAAGCCCUGUCCCUUGUCCCUCCACCACAUCCUAGAUAAGUCCCAAACCUACAUCUUCACUUCAGAGAGAGAGAAAGAUAGAUCGAAAGCUCCUGAUUUGAGAUCAAAUCAAACCGGGCAAAUGUUGCUUUGCCAACCCAGAAAAUCCUACAAGAAGAACAUUGCAGCUACUAAAACUGUGUGGUUUUUGGAGCAAAUCAAGCUGAUCAAGAGCAAAAUGGGGUGUUGCUAUUCAAGAAUAGAUAGAGAAGAGAUGGUUUCGAGAUGCAAAUCAAGGAAGAGGUACAUGAAGCAGCUCGUGAAAGCAAGACAAGCUUGGUCUGCAGCUCACACCAUGUAUCUUCGUUCUCUUCGCAGCACUGGUGCUGCUCUGCUCCAAUUUUCAAAUGCUGAAACUAUCGUCCAUCACCACAACAACCACUACAGCUACCACAACAACCACCACUCGCCCUCAUAACUGCAAACUACCCAAACCUCUAUCUCUCCACAACAUCCGUCGCCGCACACCUGCCAGUGACUGAAGAAGAGUGGGAGGACAACACGACUGCCUCCGAUGCGGUGAUCACCGUCACGGCGGCGAGCACGGCGGCGCCGCCUUCUGUCGUCAGUGCGUUUUCUAAAGAGAGUGGGGCGCCUACGAGUGAGCUUGCCAUGGUGGUUUCGAGAAAUGCUAAGGAUCUGGUUGAGAUUAUAAAGGAGCUUGAUGAGUAUUUCCUCAAGGCUGCUGAUGCUGGCGGACUUCUCUCCUUGCUCUUGGAAGUUCCCACCCCUGGAUUUUCUUCUUGUCAAAAUAAAGGGGGUAAAGUUUAUAACCAUGGGUGUAAUUUGAGCCCCUCACUGUGGACAUGGGGAGGUUCAAGUCCCAAGUUUGGUGGGUUUGGAAAGAUGGGUUGUGAUGAGAUGGUGCUUAGCCAUUUAGGUAGUGGGGUUGGAGAGGAGGGUGUUGUGAGUAGCAGCCAUUGCUCUACUGUGGAGAGGCUUUAUGCUUGGGAAAAGAAACUAUACCAGGAAGUCAAGGAUGCUGAGACAAUAAAGAUAGAGCAUGAGAAGAGGGUGGCUACCUUGAAGAAGCUAGAGAUGAAGAGGGCAGACUAUGUGAAGACUGAGAAGACCAAGAAUGAUGUGGAAAAGCUGGAGUCACAAAUGAUGGUUGCUUCACAGGCCAUUGACACAACUUCUGCUGAAAUCAUCAAACUCAGGGAGACAGAGCUGUACCCUCAACUCAUUGAGCUUGUCAAGGGAUUGAUGUGCAUGUGGAGAAGCAUGUAUGAGUGCCACCAGGUCCAAAAGCACAUUGUUCAGCAGCUCAAAUACCUGAACACAAUACCAUCUACUGAACCUACAUCUGAGAUUCACAGGCAAGCAACACUCCAGCUUGAGCUUCAAGUCCAGCAAUGGCACCAGUCAUUUUGCAACCUGGUCAAGGCUCAAUUGGACUACAUCCAGUCCCUAACAGGAUGGCUCCGGCUUAGCCUCUUCCAGUUUAGGAGACAUCCAAUAUCAAAGACAAGUCAAGAAUCAAGAAUUUACAUGCUCUGUGAAGAAUGGCACCAUGCAAUUGACCGGAUUCCGGACAAAGUAGCAUCUGAAGGAAUCAAGAGCUUUUUAACCGUAGUUCAUGCUAUUGUAGUUCAACAAGCAGAGGAAUAUAAGCAAAAAAAGAAGUCAGAAUCGACAUUUAAAGAGCUUGAGAAGAAGGCAACUGUGCUUAGAUCGCUGGAGUCCAAGUAUGGCCCAUAUUCAAUGCCUGAUUCCGCUAGCACUUCUACAAAGAACCCAGUUGCUGAGAAGCGGGCAAAGGUGGAGGUGUUGAGGGCAAAAGCAGAAGAGGAGAAGAGCAAGCAUGAAAAGUCAGUGAGUGUGACAAGAGCCAUGACACUAAAUAACUUGCAGAUGGGGUUUCCUCAUGUCUUUGAGGCGAUGGUGGGAUUUUCAAGUGUGUGUAUGCAGGCAUUCGAGUCAUUAUAUAACCAAGCCAAAAGUGCUAAUCAGGAGCUUGACGUUAAGAGGUUACUACAGUGAGGAGAAGAUUCAAAUUUCAGGAAGAUUGGCAGCACUGUAAUCAGUUUUCUGUGUAUAUCGCGCAUCCUUUCAGUAAGCUUGAUGUUGAGGGGUUACUAAAUCGAUGAAAAGACUUAAAAGUUCUGGAGGAAUGACAGCAUUGUAAUCAGUUUUCGUGUAUAGAUAAAUGCACAUCCUUUCAGUUAUCAUUAACCAUAGUGGAGGAGACUAUCAGUGACAGGAUUCCCCUUUUUAAGAUAACCUUGACACAAUUAUGCAGAUUAGGGAAACACUGACCCGGAAACAGAAGUGGUUGAAUAUUUGGAAUGCAACAGAGCAAGGAUAUUCUAGUUAGUUUUCAACUUUUCAAAUGUUUGUUCUGUUUUCUCACAUGAAAGGCGUCCGGAAU